rnacentral:sRNA from 1 species
CUGACCGGUGGCGGUGCGAUACGUGGCGUGCUUCACUGAGCGUAGAGCAACAAGGGCGGAGUCAGAGGGAGAGACACAACAACGGCACCCGGCGGCAAACGGGUGCCGUUGUCCACCUCUCCCUCGCUUCGUACUUG